rnacentral:rRNA from 1 species
UACGUAGGGUGCGAGCGUUAAUCGGAAUUACUGGGCGUAAAGCGUGCGCAGGCGGUUCGUUAAGUUCGUCGUGAAAGCCCCGGGCUCAACCUGGGAACUGCGCUUGAUACUGUCGAGCUAGAGUGUGGAAGGGGCGAUUGGAAUUCCGUGUGUAGCGGUGAAAUGCGUAGAUAUACGGAGGAACACCAGAGGCGAAGGCGGAUCGCUGGGCCAACACUGACGCUGAGACGCGAAAGCUAGGGUAGCAAACGGG